GACGAACGCUGGCGGCGUGCUUAACACAUGCAAGUCGAACGAGUGGCGAACGGGUGAGUAAUACGUGAGUAACCUGCCCUCUUUUUGGGAUAAGCCUUGGAAACGGGGUCUAAUACCGGAUAAAGGGGGAUGGGCUCGCGGCCUAUCAGCUUGUUGGUGGGGUGAUGGCCUACCAAGGCGGUGACGGGUAGCCGGCCUGAGAGGGUGACCGGGCACAUGGGGACUGAGAGACGUCCCAGAGUCGUACGGGAGGCAGAAGUGGGGGAUAUUGCACAAUGGGCGAAAGCCUGAGGCAGCGACGCCGCGUGGGGGAUGAAGGCUUUCGGGUUGUAAACCUCGUUCGCUAUCGAAGGGUAGGUGGAGAAGAAGCGCCGGCUAAAUACGUGCCAGCAGCCGCGGUAAUUC
rnacentral:rRNA from 1 species